rnacentral:rRNA from 1 species
ACGGCAGCACGGGUGCUUGCAUCNGGUGGCGAGUGGCGGACGGGUGAGUAAUACAUCGGAACGUGUCCYGAAGUGGGGGAUAACGCAUCGAAAGAUGUGCUAAUACCGCAUAUACUCUGAGGAGUAAAGUAGGGGAUCGAAAGACCUUAUGCUUUUGGUGCGGCCGAUGUCUGAUUAGCUAGUUGGUGGGGUAAUGGCCUACCAACGCGACGAUCAGUAGUUGGUCUGAGAGGACGACCAGCCACACUGGGACUGAGACACGGCCCAGACUCCUACGGGAGGCAGCAGUGGGGAAUUUUGGACAAUGGGCGCAAGCCUGAUCCAGCAAUGCCGCGUGAGUUAAGAAGGCCUUCGGGUUGUAAAGCUCUUUCAGUUGAGAAGAAAAGACUGUAACUGAUAAUUACAGUUCAUGACGGUAUCAACAGAAGAAGCACCGGCUAACUACGUGCCAGCAGCCGCGGUAAUACGUAGGGUGCCAGCGUUAAUCGGAAUUACUGGGCGUAAGGGUGCGCAGGCGGUUCUGUAAGUCAGAUGUGAAAUCCCCGGGCU